rnacentral:rRNA from 1 species
UGCUGGAGGUAUCAGAAGUGCGAAUGCUGACAUAAGUAACGAUAAAGCGGGUGAAAAGCCCGCUCGCCGGAAGACCAAGGGUUCCUGUCCAACGUUAAUCGGGGCAGGGUGAGUCGACCCCUAAGGCGAGGCCGAAAGGCGUAGUCGAUGGGAAACAGGUUAAUAUUCCUGUACUUGGUGUUACUGCGAAGGGGGGACGGAGAAGGCUAUGUUAGCCGGGCGACGGUUGUCCCGGUUUAAGCAUGUAGGCUGGUUGUCCAGGCAAAUCCGGAUAAUCAAGGCUGAGGUGUGAUGACGAGG